rnacentral:rRNA from 1 species
AUUGAACGCUGGCGGCAGGCCUAACACAUGCAAGUCGAACGAGUGGCGGACGGGUGAGUAAUGUCUGGGUAACCGCCCGAUGGGGGGGGAUAACCAUCGGAAACGCUAGCUAAUACCGCAUAUUAUCGGAUGUGCUCAGGUGGGAUUAGCUAGUAGGUGGGGUAACGGCUCACCAAGGCUACGAUCCCUAGCUGGUCUGAGAGGAUGACCAGCCACACUGGAACUGAGACACGGUCCAGACUCCUACGGGAGGCAGCAGUGGGGAAUAUUGCGCAAUGGGCGCAAGCCUGAUGCAGCCAUGCCGCGUGUAUGAAGAAGGUCUUCGGGUUGUAAAGUACUUUUAGUGGGGAGGCGUUACUCGCAGAAGAAGCACCGGCUAACUCCGUGCCAGCAGCCGCGGUAAUAC